GCGGAGGAAAAGAAACUAACCAGGAUUCCCUUAGUAACGGCGAGUGAAGUGGGAGAAGCUCACAUUGUGAAUCCACGGUGGAAUUGUGGUCUGUGGACUCUUGCGCUAGUGGCCGGGCCAAGUCCCUUGGAACAGGGCAGCUGAGAGGGUGAGACUCCCGUCCGUCCGGCCUAUGGAGCAAGUGUUGAAGAGUCGAGUUGUUUGGGAUUGCAGCUCCAAGUGGGUGGUAAAUUCCAUCUAAAGCUGAAUACUGGUGGGAGACCGAUAGCGCACAAGUACCGUGAGGGAAAGAUGCAAAGCCGCGCGAAAGCGCUGUUAAAGAGUACCUGAACUUGCUGAAAAGGAAGCGAAGGAAACCAGUGCCAGCUGGGUCAUACUUCUGCAACUGCUUGCAGUUGCAGCGCUGUGGCUAGCGUUGUCAACCUUGGCUGUCAUGUCCGCAAUUGCGUCUUGGGGAGUCUCUCCUGGAUUGU
rnacentral:rRNA from 1 species